rnacentral:rRNA from 1 species
AACGAACGCUGGCGGCAUGCCUAACACAUGCAAGUCGAACGAGAUCUUCGGGUCUAGUGGCGCACGGGUGCGUAACGCGUGGGAAUCUGCCCUUUGGUUCGGAAUAACAGUUGGAAACGACUGCUAAUACCGGAUGAUGACGAAAGUCCAAAGAUUUAUCGCCAGAGGAUGAGCCCGCGUAGGAUUAGCUAGUUGGUGUGGUAAAGGCGCACCAAGGCGACGAUCCUUAGCUGGUCUGAGAGGGCGAUCAGCCACACUGGGACUGAGACACGGCCCAGACUCCUACGGGAGGCAGCAGUGGGGAAUAUUGGACAAUGGGCGAAAGCCUGAUCCAGCAAUGCCGCGUGAGUGAUGAAGGCCUUAGGGUUGUAAAGCUCUUUUACCCGGGAUGAUAAUGACAGUACCGGGAGAAUAAGCUCCGGCUAAUUCCGUGCCAGCCGCCGCCGUAA